rnacentral:tmRNA from 1 species
GGGGGCGUAACGGCUUCGACGUGGGACGUGAAGUAAAAGGUGCAUGCCGGGGAGAAUGAGGACCUCGUUAAAAACAUUCAAACUUUACUAUCUAACGAUAGUUUACAAUUAGCAGCUUAGGUUGCUUUUCGGUGUUUAGAUCAAUCGCCGAUGUUGAUUUAAAAUACCGUCACUGAUGUCGGAUCGGUUCGUGUGGGUUUCUCAAGCGCACGGGCUUAAGAGUUACUGGGGGACCGUCUUAAGAAAUUUUGUUUGUGGAAGUUCUUAGGAUAAAAUUAAAACACAGAAUAAGCAUGUAGUACCUUUCUAUGGAGCUCUUGCGGACGGGGGUUCAACUCCCCCCGCCUCCACCA